UUUCAAGCGAGGACAGUCGUAACAAUGGAUACAGCUCCUUUGCCAAAAUUUGCUCUUUUUUUUUAGGUGUCUGUAAAUUUGCUUUAAGAGUGUAAUGCUGUAACGUAGUUUUAUUUAUUACGUACUGCUAACACAAUGAAAGCUGAGGCGUUACAUAAUAGUUCAAAAUUAUCAGAUUUUUAUAACUGCAAGAAGUUCCCGAAGAUGCUGUUAAUGUCCUAAAAGGGUAAAGGCAAAGCAAGUAUUUUAGCAUCAGGUUGUUAUUUGAAAAAAAAAAAAAAAAAAAUCCAAAUUCUGCACUUCUAAUAUUUGCUAAAUGGAAUAGAAGACAUGGAAUCUCUUGGACCAGCUCAGAAUAAACAGCCCAUUAUAGUGUGUUU
rnacentral:lncRNA from 1 species